GUCCCACACAAACGGUACCUGUGAGAGAGGCAGCAUCCCGGCGGGCAGCUCUGGUGACAGAGCAGAGAGCCGGGUACGGAGACGCUGGCAGAGAGGCAGUCCUGGUAGCGGCGAUGCUAGAGACGCUGUAGGCAUGGAAAUAGGCGCUGGCAAAAAGGUAGUCUCGGUGACAGUGAGGCUGGAGAACGCUGCAGGCAGACAAAUAGCCCCUGGCGGAGAGGCAGUCCCGGUGAUGUUGGAGAGCCAGAGAGCUGUGCAAUAGAGUGCGCAGGCAACCAGAGUAAGAGGGAGAACGGUGAGGAGUGAGAUCCUGUCAGUGCUGAGGACUCACUGAUUGGUACAAGAACUACAAUAAGAGGUACCUAGACUAUCUGUCUUACAAUAAUCAGACAGAGGGGGUGGAGAGGCAGAGCGUAGAGGAACAAGAGGAACAGGAGGAGUCGGGGGAGCUACCAGAGGUGGGAAUGUUUGUUGGAACGGUCUAAAGAAUUUAUUGACGCUGAUAACCCAACUAUAGUUGUACAAUAAAGCUGUUAUACUUACCGCUGCCUGACUCUUCUGCUAGGGGACCCGACAUGCCUAAUGGAGAGAAAACAGGUGGGAAUGUUUGUUGGAAUGGUCUAAAGAAUUUAUUGACGCUGAUAACCCAACUAUAGUUGUACAAUAAAGCUGUUAUACUUACCACUGCCUGAUUCUACUGCUAGGGGACCCGACAUGCCUAAUGGAGAGAAAACAGAUGUCUUCAGCAAAAGCAAUGCGGAGUAACUACCAACCCCAAAUAAAGUGGUACUGCCCAAUUUGAUCUGAUACCAGGUAAAACACCAACCAGAAACCCAGGCCAUGUCCAGUUAUAUUGAAGAAAACCUUGAUCAUGAGAUCAUCACAACAUCCUCCUCACUUGCAUCUGCCAGAUUCUUUUUCCUGGAGAAAAAUAGAAGUGGGUCUUCAUUCUACCAUAGAACAUUGGGCUGAAAUAACAUUACUUAAAUAACAAGUAUCCGCUAUCUGUAAUAUGAUUUCUCAUAUAUUGGUGUGGGGACGGAACUGUCUGAAAGGCAACUAACUGGGAAGUUACAGCUUUGUUCUUUUUUCUUCAAAAAUUCUCUCCAAAAUUACAGAUUAAGGCAAAAAGGCUUAUUAGCAAUAAAACUGACUCUGGAAGAAUGGAGACAUCUCC